GACGAACGCUGGUGGCGUGCUUAACACAUGCAAGUCGAACGGGAUUUCGUAAACAGAAGCCUCGGUGGAAGAUUACUAAUGAGAGUGGCGAACGGGUGAGUAACGCGUGAGCAACCUGCCUAUGACAGUGGGAUAGCCUCGGGAAACCGGGAUUAAUACCGCAUAAAAUCGUAGAAACACAUGUUUUAACGGUCAAAGAUUUAUCGGUCAUAGAUGGGCUCGCGUCUGAUUAGCUAGUUGGUGAGAUAACAGCCCACCAAGGCGACGAUCAGUAGCCGGUCUGAGAGGAUGAGCCGCCACAUUGGAACUGAGACACGGUCCAAACUCCUACGGGAGGCAGCAGUGGGGAAUAUUGCACAGUGGGGGAAACCCUGAUGCAGCGACGACGCGUGAACGAAGAAGGUAUUCGUAUCGUAAAGUUCUGUUCUAUGGGAAGAUAAUGACAGUACCAUAGAAGAAAGCUCCGGCUAACUACGUG
rnacentral:rRNA from 1 species